rfam:Heterocephalus glaber contig67466, whole genome shotgun sequence.
GGAUAUGAGAGGGAUCUGGCUACAAUAUCUGUCACCCCAUUGAUUGCCAGGGUUGAUUUGGCUGAUCUGGCUGGCUAGGCAGGUGUCCCUUCCUCUCACCAUUUUCUUGUUCAUCCCUCUUGAAGCUGUGUGCUUGGUUGAUGAAGAUGACCUUCCCCAAAAAAGAAGUACUGCUUCCUUGGUCAAGGGUAUAUGAGUAGCUGUGCUGUCCUGCUAGAACCCCCAAACAAGCUCUCAAGACCAGAUGAUGUGUUUGACUGAUGGCGUUUGAAACUUUGUGUGUGUUUGGGGGUACUAGAGAUCGAAUCCAGGGGUGCUCUGCCACU